rnacentral:rRNA from 1 species
UACGUAGGGUGCAAGCGUUGUCCGGAAUUAUUGGGCGUAAAGAGCUCGUAGGCGGUUUGUCGCGUCGGAUGUGAAAUCCCGGGGCUUAACCCCGGGUCUGCAUUCGAUACGGGCUGACUAGAGUUCGGCAGGGGAGACUGGAAUUCCUGGUGUAGCGGUGAAAUGCGCAGAUAUCAGGAGGAACACCGGUGGCGAAGGCGGGUCUCUGGGCCACUACUGACGCUGAGAAGCGAAAGCAUGGGGAGCGAACAGG